rnacentral:rRNA from 1 species
GACGAACGCUGGCGGCGUGCUUAACACAUGCAAGUCGAACGGAAAGGCCCUGCUUUUGUUGGUUGCUCGAGUGGCGAACGUGUGAGUAACACGUGAGUAACCUGCCCUUUACUUUGGGAUAACUUCAGGAAACUGGGGCUAAUACCUGAUAGGAGCUCCUGCUGCAUGGUGGGGGUUGGAAAGUUUCGGCGGUUGGGGAUGGACUCGCGGCUUAUCAGCUUGUUGGUGGGGUAGUGGCUUACCAAGGCUUUGACGGGUAGCCGGCCUGAGAGGGUGACCGGCCACAUUGGGACUGAGAUACGGCCCAGACUCCUACGGGAGGCAGAAGUGGGGAAUAUUGCACAAUGGGCGGAAGCCUGAUGCAGCAACGCCGCGUGCGGGAUGACGGCCUUCGGGUUGUAAACCGCUUUCGCCUGUGACGAAGCGUGAGUGACGGUAAUGGGUAAAGAAGCACCGGCUAACUACGUG